UAUCCAGAAACUAUUCAGGCUUUUCAUGAUUAUACUGAUUGGAUAGUACUACUCUUCUGCUGGGUCAACAAUGAAAUCUACGCUUUAGCCUUGACGUGUCUAGAGAUGCAUCCAAAUUUAGCUUUUGAGAGAGAUGAUUCAAACGAGACAAUACUGCACAUAUUGGCUUGAAAGCCUUUAAGUUCUAUUUGCCAAAGUCAACGAUAUAGAAAGCGGCUCAUGAAGUCCUGUAAGCGUCCAUGAUCACAAAUUACAAAUAAUAUAUAAUUAUGAUAUAGUGAUUUUACUACAUACAAUAAAUUCUAUUGUGUUUCCCAGGUUUGAGGCAAA